UACAGCCAUAUCACGUUGAGACAUCGACUCUCAUACGAUCACCGAUGUUAAGCAACGCUGAGCCUGGCCAAUACCUAGAUGGGUGACCGCUUGGGAAUAGUAGGCACUUGC
rnacentral:rRNA from 1 species